CUUCAUCUUUCUCUUCUGAGUCUUCUUCUCUUUUCCUUUUAUUCUUUUUGUUUCUUCCUUCAUGCAGGCGAUUCUGACUCCAUGCCCGCAAGUUGCUGAGGACGAGUUUUUACCGCAACACAUUCACCUUAGGCAUAUUCUUCUUUUUUUCUUUUUUUUUUUCUUUCACGACAGCUUCGUAUCUAAUUUUUUUUAACCUUCCUUUUCUCUGCAAGUAUUUUCCGCUAUGGCUGAAGAAUUUGUGAAUGACUUUGUUCAUCAAAACGACAUCGUUGUCAUAACCCACAAUCUCCCCAAAGGUAUUUUCUUUUUCUUCUGAAUCUUCUUCUCUUUUCCUUCUAUUCUUUUUGUUUCUUCCUUCAUGCAGGCGAUUCCGGCUCUAUGUACCGCAACACAUUCACCUCAGGUAUUUCCUUCUUUUUUUCUUUUUUUUUUUCUUUCAUGACAGCUUCGUAUCUAAUUUUUUUUAACCUUCCUUUUCUCUGCGAGUAUUUUCCGCUAUGGCUGAAGAAUUUGUGAAUGGCUUUGUUCAUCAAAACGGCAUCGCUGUCAUAACCCAUAAUCCCCCCAAAGGUAUUUUCUUUUUCUUCUGAAUCUUCUUCUCUUUUCCUUUUAUUUUUUUUGUUUCUUCCUUCAUGCAGACGAUUCCGGCUCCAUGCCUGCAAGUUGCUGAGGACGAGUUUUUACCGCAACACAUUGACCUCAGGUAUUUCCUUUUUUUUUUCUUUUUUUUUUCUUUCACGACAGCUUCGUAUCUAAUUUUUUUUAACCUUCCUUUCCUCUGCGAGUAUUUUUCUCUAUGGCCGAAGAAUUUGUGAAUGGCUUUGUUCAUCAAAACGACAUCGCUGUCAUAACCCACAAUCCCCCCAAAGGUGAUGGGGAGAAAAAGACCAAAAUUUGGAUAAUAUUAGCUAUUGUGGUGGGGCUGAUCUGCCUUGGAAUCCAUAUAUUUCUGGUAUGGAGGUUUAAGAGAAAACCUAAAGCAAUUUCAUCAGUUUUUGGUUACAACAACAAUAGCGAAAAUACCAGUCUUUGAUCUAACGAGGAGUACAUACUUAUCAUAAAUUUCAGAAAGUAAAGGGGGGAGAAGAUCGCAGUGGCUAUGGCAUGGAGCUGAAGGAGGUUGGCGUUGUUCAUUAGUUCAGUCUGGAAGUUGAAAACGACAUCGUUAGAGACAAAGUGGGGACCACACGACACUGCGAAUUUCAUAAUCAAAAUCUUUUAUCCCGAUUUUAAUUUUAUUAAUUUAAUACUAAUAUUGUAUGCAAGUAAUUG